rnacentral:rRNA from 1 species
GAGGACCGAACCGACUAAUGUUGAAAAAUUAGCGGAUGACUUGUGGCUGGGGGUGAAAGGCCAAUCAAACCGGGAGAUAGCUGGUUCUCCCCGAAAGCUAUUUAGGUAGCGCCUCGUGAAUUCAUCUUCGGGGGUAGAGCACUGUUUCGGCUAGGGGGUCAUCCCGACUUACCAACCCGAUGCAAACUACGAAUACCGAAGAAUGUUAUCACGGGAGACACACGGCGGGUGCUAACGUCCGUCGUGAAGAGGGAAACAACCCAGACCGCCAGCUAAGGUCCCAAAGUCAUGGUUAAGUGGGAAACGAUGUGGGAAGGCACAGACAGCCAGGAUGUUGGCUUAGAAGCAGCCAUCAUUUAAAGAAAGCGUAAUAGCUCACUGGUCGAGUCGGCCUGCGCGGAAGAUGUAACGGGGCUAAACCAUGCACCGAAGCUGCGGCAGCGACACUAUGUGUUGUUGGGUAGGGGAGCGUUCUGUAAGCCUGCGAAGGUGACCUGUGAGGGUUGCUGGAGGUAUCAGAAGUGCGAAUGCUGACAUAAGUAACGAUAAAGCGGGUGAAAAGCCCGCUCGCCGGAAGACCAAGGGUUCCUGUCCAACGUUAAUCGGGGCAGGGUGAGUCGACCCCUAAGGCGAGGCCGAAAGGCGUAGUCGAUGGGAAACAGGUUAAUAUUCCUGUACUUGGUGUUACUGCGAAGGGGGGACGGAGAAGGCUAUGUUAGCCGGGCGACGGUUGUCCCGGUUUAAGCAUGUAGGCUGGUUAUCCAGGCAAAUCCGGAUAAUCAAGGCUGAGGUGUGAUGACGAGGCACUACGGUGCUGAAGUAACAAAUGCCCUGCUUCCAGGAAAAGCCUCUAAGCAUCAGGUAACAUCAAAUCGUACCCCAAACCGACACAGGUGGUCAGGUAGAGAAUACCAAGGCGCUUGAGAGAACUCGGGUGAAGGAACUAGGCAAAAUGGUGCCGUAACUUCGGGAGAAGGCACGCUGGUGUGUAGGUGAAGUCCCUGCGGAUGGAGCUGAGACCAGUCGAAGAUACCAGCUGGCUGCAACUGUUUAUUAAAAACACAGCACUGUGCAAACACGAAAGUGGACGUAUACGGUGUGACGCCUGCCCGGUGCCGGAAGGUUAAUUGAUGGGGUUAUCCGUAAGGAGAAGCUCUUGAUCGAAGCCCCGGUAAACGGCGGCCGUAACUAUAACGGUCCUAAGGUAGCGAAAUUCCUUGUCGGGUAAGUUCCGACCUGCACGAAUGGCGUAAUGAUGGCCAGGCUGUCUCCACCCGAGACUCAGUGAAAUUGAACUCGCUGUGAAGAUGCAGUGUACCCGCGGCAAGACGGAAAGACCCCGUGAACCUUUACUAUAGCUUGACACUGAACAUUGAGCCUUGAUGUGUAGGAUAGGUGGGAGGCUUUGAAGCGUG